rnacentral:snRNA from 1 species
AUUGCAACCUGGCUGGGGGAGGUAUCAUGAUCGCGAAGGUGGCUUUUCCCAGGGCAAGCUGAUCCACUGCACUCUGGAUGUGCUGACCCCUGCGAUUUCCCCAAAUGUGGGAACCUCAACUUUAUAAUUUGUGGUAGUGGGGACUGCCUUUUCUCUCUUCCUUG